GAGACCUUUUGUCCAGUACAUUUGAACACUGGAAGGAGGAUGAAUCUUGCGUGCCGGAAUCAGCUUAAAGAAAAAUUCAUUGUCUGUGACGUUGAUUGGGAAUAAGCCGUCUGAUGUAAAAGAUCGAUUACUUUUGUUAAAGAAAGUCAAACAGGAAAGGCUUCAAUUUCAUUCACGAAAGAAAACGUUUAGGACGAGCUGAUGAAGCAUGAAUAGCAGACGAACAACUCAUUGUCGCGUGCUUUCCGACAACAUCAUUACAGCCAAUGAAACGUUUGACAUCCAAGCCAUCAGAAUCAUGCAUGCGUAAAUACUUAAAGAAAUAUUUGAAGCAAUUAGGCAACGUCUAGUUUGUAUGAAAAAAGGAGAAGGGGUAACAAAAAUCAAAGUAUAUAAAGCCGUCUGACUGCAAGUUUUAAACGUACUGAAUCUCGCUGUGUCUAUCUUAAAGACGUGGAUCGUUUAGUCACGACUGUGACUUAUAGGUGUUUAUAUAUGUAAUCAAUCAUCGAUGUGAUGGAGUUACCGAUUGUGGACGAUUUCGUGAUCUAAACUUCAUGAGUGGGUGUCAUGUUAAUAUUUGUCUGCCACACAGUUGAGAGUUUUUAAGUGUUGAUGCGUUGACAUUUCAUGGCACCGUUCCCGCUGCAUUGGUCUGUUUGCCGGGACUUUGCAUCGAGCAGACUUCGUGAAUUCCUCGGGAUGGGAUGCUUUCUCGUGCCCUAGUAUUGGAUUCCGCGUUCCGUUACUGGGUUUGGCGAUCGAAUGCUGAUCGCGAAUGGUUGGUGUAGCCAUCUUGAAUCUGCUGUGGCGGUUUCAUAUCGGCUUUUCGUUGUCAGUCUGAUUGCUAACUUCGUAGGAUGGCAUCGGGGGGCUGUUUGGUUCCACACUUCAGAUCCUUGAUUUGGUGUCCUUAGUCCUACAUCAUGUUUCUAAGAUGCCACUUACUCCGUUGUGUUCGGUCGUUGAUGGUUAGCAACUCUUCCUGGAAACAUUCUAUUCUGGCCGUUUCUUUCGUGGCUGUACCAUUCGUUCAGCGUGUGGCGUUCUAGGUUUUUUAUGUCGAGUUCCUGUGGCAUUCAGUCCAGAAUAUUCACAACAUGGGUCUGCGAGUACCGGCAUUCGCCGAUAUGAUGAACUGUUUUCUGAAAUUUUUAUUUAACGUUCUUUCCUAGUAAGCAAUUCUUCCCA